GCCUGGGUGGCUCAGUCGGUUGAGCGUCCGACUUCGGCUCAGGUCAUGAUCUCACAGUUCGUGAGUUCGAGCCCCGCGUCAGGCU
rnacentral:tRNA from 1 species